CAAGGGGACACCUUUCUAAAAGAAGCUGCAGUUCAUCAUCUGCUGUCAUAGUUCCGCAACCAGAGGAUCCAGACAGAGCCAAUACUUCAGAAAGGCAGAAAACGGGGCAGGUGCCUAAAAAAGACAAUUCUCGAGGAGUGAAACGCAGUGCUAGUCCAGACUACAACAGGACCAAUUCUCCUAGCUCUGCGAAAAAGCCCAGAGCAUUUCAGCAUAUUGAGUCUCUCUCAGAAACCAAUAAGCCACCUAGUAAGUCAAAGAAGAGACAUUUAGACCAGGAG
rnacentral:lncRNA from 1 species